GACGAACGCUGGCGGCGUGCUUAACACAUGCAAGUCGAACGGUAAGGCCCUUCGGGGUACACGAGUGGCGAACGGGUGGAGUAACACGUGGGUGAUCUGCCCUGCACUUCGGGAUAAGCCUGGGAAACUGGGUCUAAUACCGGAUAGGACCAUGGACUUCACGGUUUGUGGUGGAAAGCUUUUGCGGUGUGGGAUGGGCCCGCGGCCUAUCAGCUUGUUGGUGGGGUAAUGGCCUACCAAGGCGACGACGGGUAGCCGGCCUGAGAGGGUGUCCGGCCACACUGGGACUGAGAUACGGCCCAGACUCCUACGGGAGGCAGCAGUGGGGAAUAUUGCACAAUGGGCGCAAGCCUGAUGCAGCGACGCCGCGUGAGGGAUGACGGCCUUCGGGUUGUAAACCUCUUUCAAUAGGGACGAAGCGCAAGUGACGGUACCGUAUAGAAGAAGCACCGGCCAACUACGUGCCAGCAGCCGCGGUAA
rnacentral:rRNA from 1 species